GGGACAACUGCUACAACUUGGCUGUCGAGGACAACCCUACAAGCGUCCUCCUCGCCGCCGGAGCUAUCUCGGUCUUCCUCUUCAGAUGUCUCCGACGUCGUUCAGGAUGAAUCCAAUUGAACCGAUCCCCUUCUCUCCUCCUUCGUUCCUUACUUAUGCCUUUUUUGGGGGGGAACUCGAUGUGAAAGUGAGAUCGAGCGGGGAGGAGACAAGAAAAACCUAAAGAAGUUAUCAUUGAGUGGAUCGAAGGCGGUUGGCGUUUAUCCAUUGGAGGCUGGGGAACCACCCUCCGCAGCAGGUCAGCGCUCUACCAUCGCCGAGCUAUUUCUGAUUAAUUUUCGGAAGGGCGCUGAUAAUGUCACUUGGGAUCCAGAAGCCACCAUGAACUAAUCAAUCCAUAGUUGGAAAGAAAGUGACAGUUUCAAGCCAUGACCAACAUCUGUCUGUUGGAACCAACCCUGCCCACGCCAUAUGAGAAAGUUGGUGGUGGACGACACCAUUGCGGUCAGGAGAUGGUGGUCAUGAGGAGCGACGAGAUAAAGGCCUUCUACCGUUUGCUGGGUAUCUUACACAAACGGUAGCAGAUGAAGAACAAGCCUCAGCAGGAGAAGAAAGCAUGGAUUGGAUCAUGGUUAAAGAUGGCACAACCAACACUCAUCUAGUUUCUUCUUGUUCAGCAUAACUGGAGUCUCCUUUGAGCAUUAAGGGCCCCCUCUUUGUAGAUUGCCUGCAGCUGGAAAAGUAGAUGUGCUUCCAGAAUCUCCACCGACAGGGUAUAGCUGUCAUGUUCUUUAUGGAUAAUUCAAUGCAAAGUUAUUGGUCAGCAUGAAAGGGAAGACUAUAGAUCUUUGCAGAGGUCUGCUUCCUCUUCCCAUGAAUCCAAGAAAUUUGAGAUGCACAGAUAGUACAAGGAGGAGAUGCCAAUAUAGCUGACGGCAAAACACUUGAGCUAAUUGCCACAUUCCCAAUUGGUACAGAUGCAAUUUUUACUACUAACACCGUCGAAGAUACCACAGAAGGGAAAAAAAAAGGUUGGAUAAAAAUAGAGCACAAGGAGAAUUCAUUCUUUAGCAGUUCUUGCCCCAAACCACCAUUGAUCUGAAACAAUUCCUUCACUACUCAGAUUAUGUUGCCAUGAUCGUUACCCGCUUGGCCUUGUUCUAUAGUCGAACUUCUUGCAGCAUCUUCACCACCACCCUCAUUGACGGACGAUUGAUUGGGAGAGAGUUGGCACAGAGUAAACCAAUGUUUAGUACCUUCAAUAUCUCCUGCUUGCAGCGCAUAUCAAACUUUGGAUCGAUCACAUGCUCAAUGCCCUUCUGUUCUAUCGUACUGCACACCCACUUCACGAGAUCUUUCUCACCGUACUCUGGAUCGACGGGAAGUUUCCCAGUGACCAGCUCGAGAAUUACCACUCCAAAGCUGUAGAUGUCACUCUUCUCAUUGACACGGAGAGUAUAAGCAUACUCUGCAGCAGUAAGCAUUGAAUCUUUAGUUAUGGAUUGUGAGGUUUUUCAGGUGAUUAACAGAGUUCGGAGAGUGACUGACCUGGAGCAAUGUAUCCACAAGAACCAGCAAUCACAGACAUGG